rnacentral:tRNA from 1 species
GACCCCUUAGCUCAGUGGUAGAGUGUGUGAUUCCAGCACGGGCAUCCACAAAGUCAUCCGUUCAAAUCGGGUAGGGGUCA